rnacentral:rRNA from 1 species
UUUUACAAUGGAGAGUUUGAUCCUGGCUCAGGAUGAACGCUAGCUACAGGCUUAACACAUGCAAGUCGAGGGGAAACGGCAUUGAGUGCUUGCACUCUAUGGACGUCGACCGGCGCACGGGUGAGUAACGCGUAUCCAACCUUCCCAUUACUGUGGGAUAACCUGCCGAAAGGCAGACUAAUACCGCAUAGUCUUCGAUGACGGCAUCAGAUUUGAAGUAAAGAUUUAUCGGUAAU